rnacentral:rRNA from 1 species
GGCAAUGCGGCAGCUAUACAUGCAAGUCGAGCGAACGGACGAGAAGCUUGCUUCUCUGAUGUUAGCGGCGGACGGGUGAGUAACACGUGGAUAACCUACCUAUAAGACUGGGAUAACUUCGGGAAACCGGAGCUAAUACCGGAUAAUAUUUUGAACCGCAUGGUUCAAAAGUGAAAGACGGUCUUGCUGUCACUUAUAGAUGGAUCCGCGCUGCAUUAGCUAGUUGGUAAGGUAACGGCUUACCAAGGCAACGAUGCAUAGCCGACCUGAGAGGGUGAUCGGCCACACUGGAACUGAGACACGGUCCAGACUCCUACGGGAGGCAGCAGUAGGGAAUCUUCCGCAAUGGGCGAAAGCCUGACGGAGCAACGCCGCGUGAGUGAUGAAGGUCUUCGGAUCGUAAAACUCUGUUAUUAGGGAAGAACAUAUGUGUAAGUAACUGUGCACAUCUUGACGGUACCUAAUCAGAAAGCCACGGCUAACUACGUGCCAGCAGCCGCGGUAAUACGUAGGUGGCAAGCGUUAUCCGGAAUUAUUGGGCGUAAAGCGCGCGUAGGCGGUUUUUUAAGUCUGAUGUGAAAGCCCACGGCUCAACCGUGGAGGGUCAUUGGAAACUGGAAAACUUGAGUGCAGAAGAGGAAAGUGGAAUUCCAUGUGUAGCGGUGAAAUGCGCAGAGAUAUGGAGGAACACCAGUGGCGAAGGCGACUUUCUGGUCUGUAACUGACGCUGAUGUGCGAAAGCGUGGGGAUCAAACAGGAUUAGAUACCCUGGUAGUCCACGCCGUAAACGAUGAGUGCUAAGUGUUAGGGGGUUUCCGCCCCUUAGUGCUGCAGCUAACGCAUUAAGCACUCCGCCUGGGGAGUACGACCGCAAGGUUGAAACUCAAAGGAAUUGACGGGGACCCGCACAAGCGGUGGAGCAUGUGGUUUAAUUCGAAGCAACGCGAAGAACCUUACCAAAUCUUGACAUCCUUUGACAACUCUAGAGAUAGAGCCUUCCCCUUCGGGGGACAAAGUGACAGGUGGUGCAUGGUUGUCGUCAGCUCGUGUCGUGAGAUGUUGGGUUAAGUCCCGCAACGAGCGCAACCCUUAAGCUUAGUUGCCAUCAUUAAGUUGGGCACUCUAAGUUGACUGCCGGUGACAAACCGGAAGAAAGGUGGGGAUGACGUCAAAUCAUCAUGCCCCUUAUGAUUUGGGCUACCACGUG